GAUGAACGCUAUCGGCAGGCUUAACACAUGCUCGAGGGGUAGUCUAGCAAUAGAUGAGACCGGCGCACGGGUGCGUAACGCGUAUGCAAUCUACCUUUUACAGAGGGAUAGCCCAGAGAAAUUUGGAUUAAUACCUCAUAGUAUAACGACUCGGCAUCGAGAUGUUAUUAAAGUUCCAACGGUAAAAGAUGAGCAUGCGUCCCAUUAGCUAGUUGGUGUGGUAACGGCACACCAAGGCAACGAUGGGUAGGGGUCCUGAGAGGAAUAUUGGUCAAUGGGCGCAAGCCUGAACCAGCCAUGCCGCGUGCAGGAUGACGGUCCUAUGGAUUGUAAACUGCUUUUGUACAGGAAGAAACACUCCCUCGUGAGGGAGCUUGACGGUACUGUAAGAAUAAGGAUCGGCUAACUCCGUGCCAGCAGCCGCGGUAAUACCGAGGAUCCAAGCGUUAUCCGGAAUCAUUGGGUUUAAAGGGUCCGUAGGCGGGUUUAUAAGUCAGUGGUGAAAGCCCAUCGCUCAACGAUGGAACGGCCAUUGAUACUGUAGAUCUUGAAUUAUUAGGAAGUAACUAGAAUAUGUAGUGUAGCGGUGAAAUGCUUAGAGAUUACAUGGAAUACCAAUUGCGAAGGCAGGUUACUACUAAUGGAUUGACGCUGAUGGACGAAAGCGUGGGUAGCGAACAGGAUUAGAUACCCUGGUAGUCCACGCCGUAAACGAUGGAUACUAGCUGUUCGGAGCAAUCUGAGUGGCUAAGCGAAAGUGAUAAGUAUCCCACCUGGGGAGUACGUUCGCAAGAAUGAA
rnacentral:rRNA from 1 species